rnacentral:rRNA from 1 species
AUAAAGAGUAAAACCUGCCCAAUGAAUUUUCUUCAAUGGCCGCGGUACCCUGACCGUGCAAAGGUAGCAUAAUAAUUUGCCUCAUAAUUAGAGGCUAGUAUGAAUGGUUUAACAAGAUUAUACCUGUCUCUUUAUAGUUUUAAAAAAAUUAUUUUUUAGGUUAAAAUACCUAAAUGAAAUUGAAAGACGAGAAGACCCUGUCGAGCUUAAAAAUAACACAUAAAAACUAGACACAUUACUAACAAAUCCACAAAUUAUAUAUUAUUUUAGUUGGGGCGACUAAGGAACAACCAAAACUUCCUAUAAAACAAGCAAUUCACAUAUAUUGACCCAACAAGGUUGAUCAAAGAAUAACAGCUACCGCAGGGAUAACAGCAUAAUUUUUUUUAAGAGCUCUUAUCGAAAAAAAAGUUUGUGACCUCGAUGUUGGACUAAAGUACCCCAUACGAUGUAGAAGUCUAUAAAGGUUGGUCUGUUCGACCAUUAAUACUUUA